rnacentral:rRNA from 1 species
UACCAGCACCCCGAGCGGUCGGGACGAUUACUGGGCCUAAAGCAUCCGUAGCCGGUUCUACAAGUCUUCCGUUAAAUCCACCUGCUUAACAGAUGGGCUGCGGAGGAUACUAUAGAGCUAGGAGGCGGGAGAGGCAAGCGGUACUUAGUGGGUAGGGGUAAAAUCCGUUGAUCCAUUGAAGACCACCAGUGGCGAAGGCGGCUUGCCAGAACGCACUCGACGGUGAGGGAUGAAAGCUGGGGGAGCAAACCGG